rnacentral:rRNA from 1 species
CCCUUAGAUGUUCUGGGCCGCACGCGCGCUACACUGACGAAGUCAGCGAGCAUGUCCUACGCCGACAGGUGCGGGGAAUCUUGUCAAACUUCGUCGUGAUGGGGAUUGAUUAUUGAAAUUCUUGAUCAUCAACGAGGAAUUCCUAGUAAGCGCAUGUCAGCAGCUUGCGUUGAUUACGUCCCUGCCCUUUGUACACACCGCCCGUCGCUACUACCGAUUGAAUGGUUUAGUGAGAUCUUCGGAUUGGCACCACUGCGGCUCAGCAAUGGGCUCGGUGGAUGCCGAAAAGUUGAUCAAACUUGAUCAUUUAGAGGAAGUAAAAGUCGUAACA